AUUGAACGCUGGCGGCAGGCCUAACACAUGCAAGUCGAGCGGAGCGGCGGACGGGUGAGUAAUGCCUAGGAAUCUGCCUGGUCGUGGGGGAUAACGUCCGGCAACGGGCGCUAAUACCGCAUACUAUCAGAUGAGCCUAGGUCGGAUUAGCUAGUUGGUGGGGUAAAGGCCUACCAAGGCGACGAUCCGUAACUGGUCUGAGAGGAUGAUCAGUCAAACUGGAGCUGGGGAACGGUCCAGACCCCAACGGGAGGAAGCAGUGGGGAAUAUUGGACAAUGGGCGAAAGCCUGAUCCAGCCAUGCCGGGUGGUUGAAGAAGGUCUUCGGAUUGUAAGGCACUUUAAGUUGGGAGGCGUUACCGACAGAAUAAGCACCGGCUAACUUCGUGCCAGCCGCCGCGGUAAUAC
rnacentral:rRNA from 1 species